rfam:Gossypium hirsutum cultivar TM-1 chromosome 6, whole genome shotgun sequence
AGACCAUGACGCGGACAUCUUUGGAUCAACAUCUUAUAUAGCUUCCAAGCUUCAUGAAAGCUUUCUCCUUCUAACUAUUUAAAAGUGUCAAUCUCUCCUCUGAGUUG